GAUUCGGAUUUCAUAUACGGAUUUCCAUGCAUGACAUGGUUUGCUUCGCCACAAGGUUUACGGCGUCAUCUUUGCUGGUCGAUUUCAUUGAAGUGCCCUUCGAUUUGAUUUGCUUGCCACGUGAGAAGCUCCUCAAUUGAUAAGCCGUUCGAUUAGAUGGAAGGAAACGUGAGUUGCAUUGGUGAACAUAAUAAGUACAUGCUAUGCCAUUAGUCAUCAAUGCGAAACUUGAUCUAAUAUUUCAAAAAAACCAAAGAUGAUUCAACCUAUGACCUGUCAACGUUUUGGUUAAAGUAUAUGACACAAAAUGUGUGAAUUGACAGAGCAAUAACUAUUGCCUUAAAAUACCUCCGAUGACUUAAUGUUGAUUUUCUAUCAAGCAAAUAGGAUGACUUAUAAAGUGACACUCUACAUCGGAAGUGAAACGCCAUUCAGUUUGGUAUUUUUUAUUUACUUUAUUGUUUUACUUGUAUUAUGCAUAUAGUAUUACUUCAUCAUUUUCUUAAUUCGUUUUUCUCUUGGAUUUGUAUGUCGCCUCAUUGCACUAAAAAUGUUUGUUGCCCUCUCUUUCUACGCCGUGUUGGCGCUGCCUAUUGCCACCUCGCUCUAACGCAC